CGAAUACAAGACGCUACGGCGUUGAAGCAGUGUAUGUCAUACUUCCAAGAAAAGCUCGCAAGGUCAUAAACAAAUAAUGCCUGUACCAUAACCGACACAGGUGGGUAGGUAGAGUAUACUAAGGGGCGCGAGAUAACUCUCUCUAAGGAGCUCGGCAAAAUGACUCCGUAACUUCGGGAGAAGGAGUGCCUUAUUCUAUAAGGUUGCAAUAACAAGAUCCAAGCAACUGUUUAUCAAAAACACAGGUCUCCGCUAAGUCGUAAGACGAUGUAUGGGGGCUGACGCCUGCCCAGUGCCAGAAGGUUAAAGAAGUUGGUUAGCUAUUGCGAAGCUGAUAACUGAAGCCCUGGUGAACGGCGGCCGUAACGAUAACGGUCCUAAGGUAGCGAAAUUCCUUGUCGGGUAAGUUCCGACCCGCACGAAAGGCGUAAUGAUUUGGAUACUGUCUCAGAGAGGGGCUCGGUGAAAUAGACUUGUCUGUGAAGAUGCGGACUACCUGCACCUGGACAGAAAGACCCUAUGAAGCUUUACUGUAACUUGAAAUUGAAACUGGACUUUACUUGCGCAGGAUAGGUGGGAGGCGUUGAGAGUAUUCUUGUGGGAAUAUUGGAGCCAUCGGUGAGAUACCACUCUUGUAAUGUUAGGUUUCUAACUUGGUAUCAUGAUCUGGUCCAAGAACAGUUUCAGGCGGGCAGUUUGACUGGGGCGGUCGCCUCCUAAACGGUAACGGAGGCGUACAAAGGUUUCCUCUGAACGGGUAGAAAUCGUAUCUAGAGUGUAAAGGCAUAAGGAAGCUUGACUGUGAGACCUACAAGUCGAGCAGGGACGAAAGUCGGUCUUAGUGAUCUGACGGUGCUGAGUGGAAAGGCCGUCACUCAACGGAUAAAAGUUACUCUAAGGAUAACAGGCUGAUCUCCCCCAAGAGCUCACAUCGACGGGGAGGUUUGGCACCUCGAUGUCGGCUCAUCGCAUCCUGGGGCGGUAGUACGUCCCAAGGGUUGGGCUGUUCGCCCAUGAAAGCGGUACGCGAGCUGGGUUCAGAACGUCGUGAGACAGUUCGGUCCAUAUCCGGUGUAGGCGUUAGAAUAUUGAGAGGAGCCUUCUUUAGUACGAGAUGACCGAGAAGGACACACCUAUGGUGUACCAGUUAUCGUGCCAACGGUAAACGCUGGGUAGCUAUGUGUGGAGUGGAUAACCGCUGAAAGCAUCUAAGUGGGAAGCCCACCUCAAGAUUAGUAUUUUCAU
rnacentral:rRNA from 1 species